CAAAAACAUUGUUUCAUGAAUUAUAAUAUGAAAUUUACUCUGCCCAGUGAUUAAAGAAUUAAACGGCCGCGGUAUCCUGACUGUGCUAAGGUAGCGUGAUAAUUCGUCCUUUAAUUGUGGGCUUGUACGAAUGAGUUAACGAAAAUUAAGCUGUCUCUAUAUAUUAUUUAGAAAUUGAUUUUUAAGUGAAAAAACUUAAAUAUUAAUAAAGGACAAAAAGACCCCAUAGAGCUUAACUAUAAUUAAAUUGUAUAUAAAAAUUAAUUAUAUUUAAUAAUUUAUUUAAAUUAGUUUAACUGGGGCGGUUAAGGAAAUAUUUUACUUCCUUAUAAUAUUAUAAUUUAAAUUUAAUUUUCAUUAUUAGAUCCUUUAAAAGAUUAAAAGAAAAGCUACCUUGGGGGUAACAGACUAAUUUUCUUUGAGAGCUCGUAUUGACAAGAAAGUUUGGCACAUCGAUGUUGGCUUAGAAUAUCCAUAAGAUAGUAGCAGUCUUAAAUGGUGGGUUUGUUCAACCUUUAAAAUUCUACGUGAUCUGAU
rnacentral:rRNA from 1 species